UGUCAUGCUUGCCUCUUUUGC
rnacentral:siRNA from 1 species